GAGCAUGGCAGGCUGGAAAAGCCCAACAGAAAAGAUUUGUUUGGUUGAUGUAAUUUAUUUCGGCGUAGUUUUUACGACUUUUGCUACAAUUUAUUGGCGCGCGUCCAAACGAACGCCGAAAAUCUUGUGCUCUCUGUAAACGCAUCGUAAGCUUCAUUUAUCGCGUACGUGCGCUACCUAACAAUGAUCUGUAAGUCCCCCGGCGGCCAUUGCUAGGCUGUCAUAAAUUAAGAAAAUUUUAAAAACCGCAGGAACGUAUUUUACAUUUUAAAUUAAUAUGAUAAGCAUAACUUAAGAUUCACCGCGUUGUUUUAUUCAUAGGGUGGCUGUGGUUGGCUGGACGUUGGGUUUAUUUUAUGUUCGAGAAUGCCAAUACCGUCCCCGCUAUUCGUGACGGAUGCAGGCGCCGCGACGUCGCCGCCGAUCACGCCGCACCGCGUUUUGGCAGAGCCGCUGGCGCCGCCAACUUCUCCUCUUACCCCUGUGCACACCCCCAGCGUGCUUGUACUACAGAACUAUCUUCAAAACAAACUUUGUGCAAGUUUUAGUUUAGUAUCUCUUAACAAUGUCUGACUGUCGUCUUUGUUUGUCUCAUAUAUUCUCCUUGUGAUGCCUCAAGGACACGUAAAUUCCAGCGGCAUUAUAACUCCAUCUUACUGACAAUAUGACGCAGCAGCAUGCUUGCUUAUCUUCGUCAUGGCGUCAUGAGUUGAAGACAGGCACGUCACUCAUCUGCGGAUGCUUCCUUGCGUUGCUAUGAAUAUCGAGCGCGUUUGAAAAGCGUUGGAAGUCGUUAGAGAUUGAUGUGGGACAACAAAGCGUGUUAUUAAAAGGCAUUGAUGUGGAAUAAGUCACGUGUUAUGCUUUACUUUGCGUAAACAACGUGACGGGGAUAAAAGCCCGCAUGACGUGAAGGUCAGCGCUUUGAACUGCGCAGCAAACACUUUAAAAUUGAUGAAAUUUUAAUUAUCAAUUAACAGCACAUUGUGAAUGGGUGUAUAAUGUGACGCAGAGAGAAAAGCAGAGAGUGACGCAGAUAUUUUAAUAUACUGCGCAGAUAUGUUGGAAAUUGGUGUAGUUUUCGUAAGCAGCAACUGGAGUAACUCGAGACGGCUUGAAGUGUUUUCCAUCCGGAUAAGUGCCUACGUUGUUAACUGCUGUGCGGAAACUAUUCUGCAGUUCAGCGCGUGGCCGACCACAACAGCCAAAGACUCUAUCAAGGAAGAAUAGAAGCAACCAAACAAGUUUGAUUAAAGCAAUUUGCCUAGAGCCCUACAAGUUUGACAACAAACUUUCACAGCGAUGAAUUUAGUACUAGGACGUGUGUA